UACAGAGGUCCCAAGCGUUGUUCGGAUUCACUGGGCGUAAAGGGUGCGUAGGCGGUCGAGUAAGUCUGACGUGAAAUCUCCGGGCCUAACCCGGAAACUGCGUUGGAAACUACUUGGCUAGAGGAAUGGAGGGGAGACUGGAAUACUUGGUGUAGCAGUGAAAUGCGUAGAUAUCAAGUGGAACACCAGUGGCGAAGGCGAGUCUCUGGACAUUUCCUGACGCUGAGGCACGAAAGCGUGGGUAGCAAACAGG
rnacentral:rRNA from 1 species